rnacentral:rRNA from 1 species
CCAAACGAAGCCUAGUGAUAGCUGGUUGCUCAGGAAAAGAAUUUUAGUUCCCUCUUAAGAACCUCAUAGCAAAAUUAAGCAAAUAAAAUUCUUAAGACUUAUUCAAUGAGGGUACAGCCUUAUUGAAACAGGAAACAGCCUCAACUUUAGGUUAAUGACUAAAUUCUCUCUACUGCAGGGUCAAGUCGGCUUAAAAGCAGCCAUCUUUUAAAAAGCGUCCAAGCUUUACCCUAAUUACACCCUUAAAUUCAAUUAUUUACUCAAAAUCCAUCAUUAUUACUGAGCCGUUCUAUAAUAAUAUAGAAGUGAUUAUGUUAGAACUAGUAACACAGAAAUUUUUUCUCUUACAUGCAAACAUAAAUCAGAUCGAAUACAUCACUGACAAUUACUCAGCAUGAGCCUAAUGUAACAACUGUUCUAGAAAACCUUACUAUAAAUUCUGUUAACCUGACACAAGUGCAUGAAAAAAAGAUUAUAAGGCUAGGAAGGAACUCGGCAAAUACUAGUCCCGCCUGUUUACCAAAAACAUCGCCUUUUGAAUAUUAUAAAAGGUACCGCCUGCCCAGUGACUAUGUGUUCAACGGCCGCGGUAUACUGACCGUGCAAAGGUAGCGUAAUCAUUUGUCUUUUAAUUGAAGACUAGUAUGAAUGGCAUCACGAGGACUAAUCUGUCUCCCUCCCCCAAUCAGUGAAACUGAUCUCCCCGUGCAGAAGCGGGGAUAAUAUCAUAAGACGAGAAGACCCUGUGGAGCUUCAAAUCAAUAAUCAACUGCUUCGCCCACCCAAUAAAGGAUACACUCACGCAAACUUGAUUUAGAUUUUCAGCUGGGGCGUCUAUGGAGAAAAAAAAAUCCUCCAUGAAAAUUCAUGCUAAAAGCUACCGCCAUAGGCAUUAAUAUACUUAACUUUAAUUGACCCAAUUUUUGAUCAACGGACCAAGUUACCCCAGGGAUAACAGCGCAAUCCACUUAAAGAGUCCUUAUCGACAAGUGGGCUUACGACCUCGAUGUUGGAUCAGGGCAUCCAAGUGGUGCAGCCGCUACUAAAGGUUCGUUUGUUCAACGAUUAAAGCCCUACGUGAUCUG